rnacentral:lncRNA from 1 species
GAAAAUGAUCACCCUGCAGAGGGUUUCUGUCCCUUACAAACAGUUGUCCAGGAAGGGAUCAAAGAACUGCUCGACUAGACCGAGGCUGGGCGAGCAUUGCAGCAGGGUUAGCCAGGAGCAGAACACACAUUGUCACCAUAGCCCUGCCCGACUGGUCCAGCACCACUAAGUCUGCCUUCGCAAAGCUGCAGAUGAGCCCAGAGCAGGGACACGAGGAUGACAUGGAACACUUGCCGCUUUGCUGAGACAAGCUCUCCAUCCCAAUACUGUAGGAGGAAGUCCCACUGCCUCACCAGUGCCUAGAGUGUCCUAUGACAGUUACUUCCAGAACUCUGAGACG